UGUACCAAUGAGGUGCGUUAAAAAUGUCAGUUGCACAUAAAUACGCGUUGCUUGGUAAACGUUAACUUAAAUGUCAUUAUAAUUUUGUGUGUAAGAAGAUUAUGACCGCAUUAAAAGUUUUAAACUGGUUUAUAUCAAAGUGACAUAAUUAUAAUUAGUCAAUCACGACAUUGAUCGCGAUCAUACUAAUCUCCUUUCUACCGGAACGUCUCGUAUCAAACGCGAAAUAUUUCUGUUUCGCAAGAUAGCAAACAUGUGUAUCAAAAGUAUUACUACAAAAUAGCCUCAAAGUAUUCAUUUUGUGGCAUUCAUAAAACGUUUGUAAAUGGAGCCUCGAUCAAGAAAAUGGACGAAUCACUCACCACAUCAGCUCUUGCCUCUUGGGACAUGUGUGGUACCUGGUUGGCUACGUGCAGCGCGCACUGUAACAAUAGAGGGAGCUCCCAGACUGCACAAGCACUGAGCGCUCCAAUGGCAGCACAUACAACUGCCUGCAAAAAUGUGAUUGCGUACUCAAGCCUGCACUGGUAGGUUGUUUGAGGAAAAAUGUACCUGACUUUUGCCAUAUAUUGGACUGUGUUCUGGUCCAUUAUAAAAGCACACCCAAUGCAAGAGCCAGAAACUUCUCCCAAAGUCCACACUGCAGAUUCUCUUCUUCAGGUCAGAUAUGCGUGCUCGUUCUUAUAUUUUAGUUCUUGGUGUAGUACAACUCCCUUUAGUAGCAGUAAGAUUUAAAACUAAGUCCCUGUCCAGUCCUUUCACCAUCUGCCAGCAGGCCCCGAAAUUUCCUUCUGGGUGCAAUAAUAAAUAUACCCCACUAAAUCUUGGGCCAGUGAAAUAGUAGGAAGUAUAUCACUGUUUGUUUGCUUAGGGACGGUCGUUAGACGCCUGGAUCCUGGACUUGACAGUUGCCAAGACAACCAAAAAGAUUUUAACCCCCCCCCAAAAAAAAAUCUUAACUCUCUUUCUAUCUAUGAUUUAAGUUAUUGCUUUAGUUGUUUG